ensembl:miRNA
AUGUGGCCCUUUUGGAGGAAGUGUGUCACUGGGGAUAGGCUUUGAGGUUUCAGAAGCUCAAGUAAGGCCCAGUAUCACUCUCUCUUCCUGCUGCCUUUGGAUCC